CGGCCGCUGAUAUGUCUGGUAUUCUUGGGUUUGAACUUCCAGCGUUGAACCCGCAUAUUAGACGUAUCGACGGCCGG
rfam:Caenorhabditis elegans chromosome I